CCUACGGGAGGCAGCAGUGGGGAAUAUUGGACAAUGGGCGAAAGCCUGAUCCAGCCAUGCCGCGUGUGUGAAGAAGGCCUUCGGGUUGUAAAGCACUUUCAGUGGGGAAGAAAGCCUUGGGGCUAAUACCCUCGAGGAAGGACAUCACCCACAGAAGAAGCACCGGCUAACUCCGUGCCAGCAGCCGCGGUAAUACGGAGGGUGCGAGCGUUAAUCGGAAUUACUGGGCGUAAAGCGCGCGUAGGCGGUCUGAUAAGCCGGUUGUGAAAGCCCCGGGCUCAACCUGGGAACGGCAUCCGGAACUGUCAGGCUAGAGUGCAGGAGAGGAAGGUAGAAUUCCCGGUGUAGCGGUGAAAUGCGUAGAGAUCGGGAGGAAUACCAGUGGCGAAGGCGGCCUUCUGGACUGACACUGACGCUGAGGUGCGAAAGUGUGGGUAGCAAACAGGAUUAGAUACCCGAGUAGUC
rnacentral:rRNA from 1 species